CACUCAACGCACCCCUUACAGACACACACACACUGCAUCCCUUACAUACACAGAAACACACUUUGCAUCCCUUAUGCAUACAAACACAGAUUCACACAAUGCAUCCCUUACACACAACGAGAAACACACAACGAGAAAUACACAAACACACACUGCUUUCUAUCCCUUACACAAAAACACGCUGCUUCCACUACACACAAAUACACUGCAUCACCUACACAAACUGGUAUCCCUAUACACUACAUUCC